ensembl:lncRNA
UCUCCUCUGCUCCCCUUUAGUCUCCUCUGCUCCCCUUUAGUCUCCUCUCCGCUCCCCUUUAGUCUCCUCUGCUCCCCUUUAGUCUCCUCUGCUCCCCUUUAGUCUCCUCUCUGCUCCCCUUUAGUCUUCCCUCUGCUCCCCUUUAGUCUUCCCUCUGCUCCCCUUUAUCUCCUCCUCUGCUCCCCUUUAGUCUUCCCUCUGCUCCCCUUUAGUCUCCUCUCUGCUCCUCUUUAGUCUCUUCUGCUCCCCUUUAGUCUCCUCUCUGCUCCCCUUUAGUCUCUCCUCUGCUCCUCUUUAGUCUCCUCUGCUCCCCUUUAGUCUCUCCUCUGCUCCCCUUUAGUCUCCUCUCUGCUCCCCUUUAGUCUCCUCUCUGCUCCCCUUUAGUCUCCUCUCUGCUCCCCUUUAGUCUCCUCUCUGCUCCCCUUUAGUCUCCUCUCUGCUCCCCUUUAGUCUUCCCUCUGCUCCCCUUUAGUCUCCUCUCUGCUCCUCUUUAGUCUCUUCUGCUCCCCUUUAGUCUCCUCUCUGCUCCCCUUUAGUCUCCUCUCUGCUCCCCUUUAGUCUCCUCUCUGCUCCCCUUUAGUCUCUCCUCUGCUCCCCUUUAGUCUCCUCUGCUCCCCUUUAGUCUCCUCUGCUCCCCUUUAGUCUCCUCUUCUAUUUUGAUGUAUUUUUCUUUGACAUUGAGACUAAAUGAAGCGGCGCGUAUCGAUGGUUUAAACCUUUGAUGAUUGAGUCCACGUCUCCUAGGAGCUCGUGGUUCCUCAGGCUGACAGCUGAUGAUCUCAUGGAAACUCUUCUGAGCGCCUCACAAACUGCAGCUUGGUUGUAAUGAGGUGCAGCCCU